AUUGAACGCUGGCGGAAUGCUUUACACAUGCAAGUCGAACGGCAGCACGGACUUCGGUCUGGUGGCGAGUGGCGAACGGGUGAGUAGUACAUCGGAACGUGCCCAGUCGUGGGGGAUAACGUAGCGAAAGCUACGCUAAUACCGCAUACGAUCUAAGGAUGAAAGCGGGGGAUCGCAAGACCUCGCGCGAUUGGAGCGGCCGAUGGCAGAUUAGGUAGUUGGUAGGGUAAAGGCCUACCAAGCCGACGAUCUGUAGCUGGUCUGAGAGGAUGAUCAGCCACACUGGGACUGAGACACGGCCCAGACUCCUACGGGAGGCAGCAGUGGGGAAUUUUGGACAAUGGGCGCAAGCCUGAUCCAGCCAUUCCGCGUGCAGGAUGAAGGCCCUCGGGUUGUAAACUGCUUUUGUACAGAACGAAAAGGCUCUGGUUAAUACCCGGGGCUCAUGACGGUACUGUAAGAAUAAGCACCGGCUAACUACGUGCCAGCAGCCGCCGCCG
rnacentral:rRNA from 1 species